AAGCAAGCCAGUAAUGAACAACCCUCCAUGGCCUCUGCAUCAGCUCCUGCUUUCUGACCUGAUUGAGUUUCAGUCCUGACUUCCUUUGGUGAUGAACAGCAGUAUGGAGGUCUUCCUUCUGCUCCCAUCGUGCGUUUCUCUGAAUGAUGGGCUGCACCACGCAACUCUGAGAAAGUAUGUUACAACCAGAGACCACCUCUGAAUCACCCAGCAAACACCCAGGAAGGUCGGCAAUAUCUCCAUUUGACAGAUCUUUCAAGAAGAAAUGCGGCCAUGGAUUAUAUCAGGCCACAGAAGAAGGCUGGGAAGAAGGAGUAUUCUGUUCUUCAAUAUAUUGAAGCUAUAAAUAACAAAAGAAUUUGGUUAACAAGAAUGACGUUCCACUGCUAGACCGGACAUUGACAAGAAGAUAAAUGUAGUCCUCACCCCUCAUCAAGGAAGUGUCUCUUUCCAACAGAUGGAGACCACUA
rnacentral:lncRNA from 1 species